UGCAGUCGACGCUUUUUUUUCCCGGAGCUUGCUCCCCGAAAGAAAAGAGUGGCGAACGGGUGAGUAACACGUGGGUAACCUGCCCAUCAGAAGGGGAUAACACUUGGAAACAGGUGCUAAUACCGUAUAACACUAUUUUCCGCAUGGAAGAAAGUUGAAAGGCGCUUUUGCGUCACUGAUGGAUGGACCCGCGGUGCAUUAGCUAGUUGGUGAGGUAACGGCUCACCAAGGCAACGAUGCAUAGCCGACCUGAGAGGGUGAUCGGCCACACUGGGACUGAGACACGGCCCAGACUCCUACGGGAGGCAGCAGUAGGGAAUCUUCGGCAAUGGACGAAAGUCUGACCGAGCAACGCCGCGUGAGUGAAGAAGGUUUUCGGAUCGUAAAACUCUGUUGUUAGAGAAGAACAAGGAUGAGAGUAAAAUGUUCAUCCCUUGACGGCAUCUAACCAGAAAGCCACGGCUAACUACGUGCCAGCAGCCGCGGUAAUACGUAGGUGGCAAGCGUUGUCCGGAUUUAUUGGGCGUAAAGCGAGCGCAGGCGGUUUCUUAAGUCUGAUGUGAAAGCCCCCGGCUCAACCGGGGAGGGUCAUUGGAAACUGGGAGACUUGAGUGCAGAAGAGGAGAGUGGAAUUCCAUGUGUAGCGGUGAAAUGCGUAGAUAUAUGGAGGAACCCAGUGGCGAAGCGGCUCUCUGGUCUGUACUGACGCUGAGCUCGAAGCG
rnacentral:rRNA from 1 species